GAUAGAGGGAGGGAGGGAGAGACCCUCAUGCCCAUGAGACUCAACACCAUGCAGAUUUUGCAGAAUUGCCACUGAUCUCAUCUAUCUCUUCCCAAGUACUUUAUGGCCCCAGGAAGAAGCGGAAGGAUGUUCCGGGUGCGUGCACAGACAUCAGUGCUUGGCAGCCUGACCAGCCACAAGAAUUCCCUGGGAACAGAGAGGAACUGGCCAAGAAUCUCCAGAAUGCUGUCGAGCGCAAGAGGGCAGGCAGCCCAUGCCGAAUCAGGAAGAGGAGCCUGUGCUCAGCCUCCCCAGAGACUAAAGCGACACCGCACCGCAUUGGUUAUGGUAGUUGCCACCCAUUUUCUCCUCCAAACCAUUUGUCUUCAUCCAUUGCCCUUGUGACCGCUGGAUUUAGGAAGAAGUGUGACCCAUUUCUCAGCCAAUUGUAUGUGAAGAAUAGCAUCUCAGGGACUUUCAAGAAAGCAUUGUUGCUUUCAAAGAGACAAGGAAGAGAUCGUCCUUUUCUUUUCCAGGGCUCGAUUAUGUCUGGGUGUGAUGUGGACCCCUGAGUCACCACAGUCACCAGGUCCUUGGGGACGACAGUGGCAUCCUGAGUAAGCAGCCCCAGAGCCACACCACCUCCAGAAUCCUUGUGUGUAAGAUAAUAAACUCCUCAUCUAAGCAGAUUUGAAUUUUUAUUCUCAAUUACUGAAGCUGAA
rnacentral:lncRNA from 1 species